CCUACGGGGGGCUGCAGUGGGGAAUAUUGCACAAUGGGCGAAAGCCUGAUGCAGCAACGCCGCGUGAGUGAAGAAGGUCUUCGGAUCGUAAAACUCUGUCCUUAGGGAAGAAACAAAUGACGGUACCUAAGGAGGAAGCCCCGGCUAACUACGUGCCAGCAGCCGCGGUAAUACGUAGGGGGCAAGCGUUAUCCGGAAUUAUUGGGCGUAAAGAGUACGUAGGUGGUUUUGUAAGCGCAGGGUGAAAGGCCGAGGCUCAACUUCGGUUAGCCUUGCGAACUGCAAGACUUGAGUGCAGGAGAGGAAAGUGGAAUUCCUAGUGUAGCGGUGAAAUGCGUAGAUAUUAGGAGGAACAUCAGUGGCGAAGGCGACUUUCUGGACUGUAACUGACACUGAGGUACGAAAGCGUGGGGAGCAAACAGGAUUAGAUACCCCAGUAGUC
rnacentral:rRNA from 1 species